GAAUGUGUUGCUAGCUUGCCCAGUGGCAUCCUCUGAGGGCAGACAGAAAGAAAUCCUCACCACUACUACCACCCUGGGUUCUAGUCAGGAAGUAACUCAGACCUCAGUCUAUCCUCGAUCUUGCUGGUUUCUUUACCCCUGGAGGCUAGGACCUGCUUCUACCAGGACUUAUUGCAGGGCAUCUCUGUGCUCUGUAGUUCUGUUGUACUUCCUGACCUUGGUGAGCUCCUAUGUGACACAAAGGAUCCUAGUGCCUUAAUGCUGCAAGUUAAUGGUGUCCCUUCAUGAAGGAGGGGACUGGAAACAAACAAAAUUGGGUAUAAGAAGACACACACAACAGUGGGAAAAGUGUCUGGGGGCGGUUAUCUAGUUGGUGCAUGGAGCCCUGCCUGGGGAGGCACAUUUUAACUAACUCCAAAUGGGCGAGAAGAGCUGGAAAUGUGUAACCCAGGAGGAAAGCCCUAAGGCUGGAGUUGCCCUUUGGUUUGGAGAACCAAAGACCAUGUGGCAGGAUUCAGUGGGUGGAGGAAGAAGGCCAGGGGUUAGGGUUGAAAAGGGAGAUGGACUGUGUGUGGUGCUGGGGGUGAGAGCCGUGGGCAGAGUAACAGACACCCACUUCAGUGGGAUAGUUUCCCAUAAUACAUCUGCAUCAUCUGCCAGGACAUCAGCCAUAGCAAUAGAUGGCUUCUCCUCUUCCCCAGGCAGUGGCUUCUGGAUUCCCCAACUUUUGUAUCCCUUAGCUUAGGCUACCUUGAGUUCAUGGCAGCACACAGCAUUAACAGCAGCCAUUUGCACCCUCUAGUGCCAUUAUCUGUGUAAGCUUAAGGUUAUGGGACCCUUAGUCCUACAGUGACAAGUGUUACAGCUCUUCUAUAGGGUUAGAGUGUCAGAACCCCACAGCCUCACACUUCACCAGUGUUAACAGUUCCUGCAUGUGGUGUGUCUGAGCCCCUUGACUCUCAAGUCCUGACAGCUCUGUGGAACUCUUCAAGCUCUUCACAGCCUUCUCUCCUUCAGCCUUAAUUCCUUACUC
rnacentral:lncRNA from 1 species